UAAUCUAUUGUUCUGCCGCUGUACUCAAGGUUCCAAUGUUGAGAGAAGUCCACCUGUAUUGGCACACUAAAGCAUAGAAUUAGUAUCAUAUUCAUUUCUCUCAGGCUGAGCAGCUGUAACGUCUCAGAGGAAGGCUGUGAAAAUUUGUUGUCAGUGGUCAGCUCCCAGUCAUGUAGUCUGAGAGAGCUGGACCUAAGUACCAACAGCCUGAAAGCUUCAGCAGUAAAGCUUCUGUCUGCUGCAGUGGAGAGUCCACAUGCCAAACUGAAUAUUCUGAGACUUAACAUCUGUGAACUCUCAGAGGAAAACUGUGAAGCUCUGUCCUCAGUUCUCAGCUCACAGUCCUCUAGUCUGACAGAGUUGGACCUGAGUAUCAGAAAGCUGCAGGAUUCAGGAGUGAAGCUUCCGUCUGCUGGACUACAAAGUUUAAACUGUAAACUGAAUACUCUGAGACUGAGUGGCUGUAACCUGUCAGAGAGAAGCUGUGAAGCUCUGUGCUCAGUCCUCAGCUCCCAGUCCUCUAGUCUGAGAGAGCUGGACCUGAGUAACUCUGACCUGCAGGAUUCAGGAGUGAAGCUUCUGUCUGCUGGACUAAAGAGUUCACAGUGUGCAGUGGAAACUCUCA